rnacentral:lncRNA from 1 species
GUUUUUUUUCUAGAUCUAGUUGUUUUUUGCUUCCUGCUUCUCUUUAAUCCAAUCAUUCUCCACUUUCCACAAUCGAUUGACGGUUCCUCUCCUUGGUCAAGGAUGUUGCAUCUUCAGUGAUGCGCCCCAAAUCAACAACAGAAACAAAUCAAGAAACCCAAAGAAAGAAGGGCCCAACAAGAAAAUACAAGUCAUGGUCGAAUAAUAUAUCAAUCUGACGGCAAUUCAGAGACCGUCAACCAUUCAGAAGCACGAGAUCAGCCGAAGAGUUUGGCGACCAC